AUGUGCCUCAGCCUGAGUCAUAUGUGGUCUCUCUUGGCAGUGAGAUUGCAGGAGAAAAGUCGUCUUCCUCAGAAUACGUCUGCAUCUCCCCUUCUGGAAGCCAUCAAAAACACCAAGAUGUUUCUCAUCCUGGACAAUCUGAGCAACAUGANNNNNNNNNNCAGACUCCAGAAGAUGCCAUAUCUCAGAGUUUUGUUUUGUUUUUAUCCUUUCCCCAGAAUUCUGGAAGAACCAAGAGAAUGUGCCUCAGCCUGAGUCAUAUGUGGUCUCUCUUGGCAGUGAGAUUGCAGGAGAAAAGUCUUCUUCCUCAGAAUACGUCUGCAUCUGCCCUUCUGGUAAGUUUAUCCUCGCUAAAGAGGACGGUAAGGGAAAUACACAGGUCGCCUCUGAGCAGAGACAGCAGGUACAACUGAGCUGCUCAGCCCAAGCCUGACUUAUCUUAUUCUCCCCUUGAGAGCAGAAGAGGGCUUCAGGGCAGAGGGACUAGGACUGAAGCCCCUGCAGAGGAACAGAAAGGGAGUGUAGCUUCAGGG
rnacentral:lncRNA from 12 species